CAGUAGCCGCGGUAACACGUAGGUGGCAAGCGUUGUCCGGAAUUAUUGGGCGUAAAGGGCUCGCAGGCGGUUUCUUAAGUCUGAUGUGAAAGCCCCCGGCUCAACCGGGGAGGGUCAUUGGAAACUGGGAAACUUGAGUGCAGAAGAGGAGAGUGGAAUUCCACGUGUAGCGGUGAAAUGCGUAGAGAUGUGGAGGAACACCAGUGGCGAAGGCGACACUCUGGUCUGUAACCGACGCUGAGGAGCGAAAGCGUGGGGAGCGAACAGGAUUAGAUACCCGUGUAGUCCCUGUCUCUUAUAC
rnacentral:rRNA from 1 species